rnacentral:rRNA from 1 species
CCCUUAGAUGUCCUGGGCCGCACGCGCGCUACACUGAGUGUCUGAGAUACGAGUCUGCCUGGUCCAGCAAGGUCUAGGUAAUCGCUAAAAGACACAUCAUGCUUGGGAUAGAUUAUUGCAAAUAUUAAUCUUGAACGAGGAAUUCUUAGUAAGCGCAAGUCAACAGCUUGCGUUGAUUACGUCCCUGCCCUUUGUACACACCGCCCGUCGCUACUACUGAUUGGAUGUUUAAGCGAGGUUCUCGAACUGCUAGCGACUUAGCUUCGGUGAGGUCGCAGUGUGGGAAGUGAACCUAGCUUUGGUGUCUAGAGGAAGUAAAAGUCGUAACA